rnacentral:rRNA from 1 species
GAGUUUGAUCUUGGCUCAGGAUGAACGCUAGCGGCAGGCUUAAUACAUGCAAGUCGAGGGGUAACAUGGGUAGCAAUACCUGAUGACGACCGGCAAACGGGUGAGUAACACGUGACUACCUACCAUUCAGUGGGGGAUAGCCUAGGGAAACUUAGGGUAAGUCCCGCAUAAUCCCGAGAGGGGAAAGGACUUUUGUCGCUGAUUGACGGGGUCGGCGGCCCACUUAGCUAGUUGGCGGGGUAAUGGCCCACCAAGGCGAUGAUGGGUAGCCGGACUGAGAGGUUGGCCGGCCACAUUGGGACUGAGACACGGCCCAGACUCCUACGGGAGGCAGCAGCUAGGGAUUUUCCGCAAUGGGCGAAAGCCUGACGGAGCGACACCGCGUGAAUGAUGAAUGCCUUAUGGGUUGUAAAGUUCUUUUGUCUGGGAAGAGGCUCCUCUUUAGGGGGAGUUGACGUUACCAGAAGAAUAAGCUCCGGCUAAUUCCGUGCCAGCCGCCGCAGU